UACGUAGGUGGCAAGCGUUGUCCGGAUUUACUGGGUGUAAAGGGCGUGCAGCCGGAGAGACAAGUCAGACGUGAAAUCCACGGGCUCAACCCGUGAACUGCAUUUGAAACUGUUUCCCUUGAGUGUCGGAGAGGUAAUCGGAAUUCCUUGUGUAGCGGUGAAAUGCGUAGAUAUAAGGAAGAACACCAGUGGCGAAGGCGGAUUACUGGACGAUAACUGACGGUGAGGCGCGAAAGCGUGGGGAGCAAACAGG
rnacentral:rRNA from 1 species